GUCAUAUUACCUCCGUCCCAAAUUACUCGUCUUAGAUUUGUCUAGAUACAGAUAUAUCUAGACACGAACACAAAAACGUGUCUAGAUAUAUCUGUAUCUAGACAAAUCUAAGACAAGUAAUUUGGGACAGAGGGAGUACUUG
rfam:Triticum aestivum genome assembly, contig: Triticum_aestivum_CS42_TGACv1_scaffold_488152_6AS